rnacentral:rRNA from 2 species
CCCCGGUAAACGGCGGCCGUAACUAUAACGGUCCUAAGGUAGCGAAAUUCCUUGUCGGGUAAGUUCCGACCUGCACGAAUGGCGUAAUGAUGGCCAGGCUGUCUCCACCCGAGACUCAGUGAAAUUGAACUCGCUGUGAAGAUGCAGUGUACCCGCGGCAAGACGGAAAGACCCCGUGAACCUUUACUAUAGCUUGACACUGAACAUUGAGCCUUGAUGUGUAGGAUAGGUGGGAGGCUUUGAAGUGUGGACGCCAGUCUGCAUGGAGCCGACCUUGAAAUACCACCCUUUAAUGUUUGAUGUUCUAACGUGGACCCGUAAUCCGGGUUGCGGACAGUGUCUGGUGGGUAGUUUGACUGGGGCGGUCUCCUCCUAAAGAGUAACGGAGGAGCACGAAGGUUGGCUAAUCCUGGUCGGACAUCAGGAGGUUAGUGCAAUGGCAUAAGCCAGCUUGACUGCGAGCGUGACGGCGCGAGCAGGUGCGAAAGCAGGUCAUAGUGAUCCGGUGGUUCUGAAUGGAAGGGCCAUCGCUCAACGGAUAAAAGGUACUCCGGGGAUAACAGGCUGAUACCGCCCAAGAGUUCAUAUCGACGGCGGUGUUUGGCACCUCGAUGUCGGCUCAUCACAUCCUGGGGCUGAAGUAGGUCCCAAGGGUAUGGCUGUUCGCCAUUUAAAGUGGUACGCGAGCUGGGUUUAGAACGUCGUGAGACAGUUCGGUCCCUAUCUGCCG